rnacentral:lncRNA from 1 species
ACCUUCUUCAUGAGCUUCCUCCAAUUAUGACUCCGGCGUACACUGCCACUGUUAAUUUGUGUACAGUCUUCCUGAUCGGAGAGUGAAGAAGUCGACGUACAGUCAGAAACGUUAGAUAAUCGUCCUUCAAUGGAAGCGCUGCAGGUAAGGUUAAUUGUGGUGGCCAUCUUUUUUGGAGAGAGAAGAGUUCUUGUUUGUUGUGAAUUGUGAAUUGUGAAUUGAUGAAUGGAAGGUUAAUUAGUGGAAGAGGAGACUUUAUAGUUGGUGUAGAGGGGGUUUUUGGUAAUUCUGAAAGUGUGUAAUGUAGCUUUAAAUCUUAGGUGUAAAGAGGUCCGUUAGAACGUCAGUUGGCCAUCUUUACACAUAAUUUGUGGGACUCUGUAAUAUCUUGACUGGAUAUCUUGAGCCAUUAUUCUAAUUUUUCUUUUGUAUUGGAUUUUUAAAUGAGCCGACAAUGUUUUUCUCAAGACCAUUUAAUAAGUAUAGUAGUAUUAAAACUCUUAUCCUAAAGCUUCUACUUUAAUUAACAAAAGAACAUAGACUAUUCCGAAAGAGGUGUUCUCUUUGGUUUUUAGUCCAUGUGCAUACUCUAAACGUUCCAAGGGAAAUUUCGCUUUAAAUUUACAUCAUCUUUUACUCUUGAUACAAGCAGAAAACAAAUCGUUUGAUCUUAUCUUAUAAGGUAACUUUUAUAAAAGACAGAAACAAAAAGAUUAUUUGCAUUCGUCUUUUUCUUUGGAUGUCAUUGUUUGCCAAUUAUCCACUCAGAAUACAAGAAUGUUAAUUUUAUUUAUUAUGCAACUUUAUUCUUCGAAUAUUCAAGGAGUCGGUUGGCUUCAAAAGGAUUAACAAAAGGAUUAAGAACAUAUCACAUGACUUCACAUGGGAAGUGAUAUGCCUUUCUGAUUUUUUUUUUUUUUUUUUUUUUUUUUUUUNUUUUUUUUUUUUUUUUUUUUUUUUUUUUUUUUUUUUUUUUUUUUGCAAGAAAUUUAAUUGUAGUAUUUGGUUUUGAUUUUUUUCAUUCCGAUUUAAUUUUCGGUUAUAUGUGCAUUUUAUGUAUAAAUAUAUCUCACCUACACUUGCACAGUUGACACCAAAGUUUACUUUGGAUGCCUUAGUCUUCCUCCUCGGACUAUUGUUGUCUUCAAUAUUGUAUCACAUUAAUAUCCAAGUGGUAACGCCGAGUUCCAGAUGGUUAAUCUCCCAACCAUCUCCCAAAAAACAAAUAGAAGAAACAAGAAGGACGAGAGCAAUUUUCUUAUGAUAUUUCCAAAUGCAGCCACAUGAAUUAAAUAUAGUAGUUAGGUUCUAAAAUUAAGCAAAAAUGAAGGAAAACAUGGAAGGACUUAUUCAACUCUGAUAAAAUUGUGCUGGACUCUUUCUUUUUCAUGUUCCAUUCUGGUGCAAAGUUAUUCGUGGCACUUAAUUCUCAAGCGUGCCCUGCUAGUAAAAAGGGAUUGCUCCAUUUGAAAAUGGAUUUGGGCCUGACGGUCAACCUGUGUUGUAUAAAUGUCAUCUCCCUUACCAUUGACCUCCUCCUUGAGAUCAAAGACUAGAAAACGGAGUUGAAUUUCAUGUUUUCACUCCCAAGAGGCUUCUGAGUGAGGCUUGUUACUCAUUUAUUGAGGACAUGGUGAUCAUGUUGUGUGUGUUCUUUGUUUAGAUGGAGUCGGUAUUUAUAGUCAUCAUCUUCUAUGAUUGGAAAAUUGGUUGUCUAUAUUGUAUUUGAAUUGGAACUCAAUAUUUGAAUGUGAAAACGGGGUAGAUUGGUGCUUGAGCAGGUAACUCGGAAAGGUAUGAAACUUGACCAAAAUUCUCCAAGAUUUGAUAUGGCUCUAAAAACAUUUUGCAAGUUUCUAGUUAACACGGAUUUCCAUAGAAGAUUUGUAGUAGUUUCGUAGCUUUAAAUAAACAAAAAUCGCCCAUAAUGAAGUUCUUAUCUAGAUGGUGUUUGUUGGCUCGAGUGGUCAUUUUUUCUUGGACCUAGAUAAAGCCUCUUUGGUCAGCACGAUCACCUGUUGAUGUGCGAUGAAUGUAUCGCCGAUAUAAACAAGAAUAGUGUUGUCGGGUUUGUAUUCAUGAAUAGUGGUGGCGUCCUUGCCAUAGUGGGUCUUGAAGGGUGACAUGUUGAUUGUGGAAUGGUGGCUCUAGUGUAAUAUAAUUUGGCAAGGUAUAGGCAACCAUUCCUCGAGCAACGUCGUCACCGACAAAGGCAAUCAAUAAGCUUCCAAGAACUAAGAGCUGGUUGCCAACCUCAUUUUGACCAUCAGUUUGGAUAUUGCACACUACUAGAAAACAGCGCUUUAAUGGUGCACAAACAAUGAUAAACGCUGAUAGAGGACGCGCAUUUGUGUGUGCCCUAAAAAAUAAUGCCAGUUUUGCAAAAUUUGAAGGAUAGAGGAUACACAUUUUUGUGCGUCCUGAAAUUAGUGUCCAACAAAAAAAUUAAAAACACUGAGGACACCUAUUCUAAAAUGCGUGUCGUGUUACCCUGUCGCUUUAUAAUUUUAGUCUACGAGCGCGCGUUUUCUUUUUUUAAUAGCCAGUGGGAAAUGAAAUCAAAAAAAUUAAAAACCCCGCAUGUUGUCCUUCCACAGGAACGCUCACCUCACCUCAUUCCAUAGAAACGCUCACCUCAUCAGACUCACCUCUCUCUCUCUCUCUCUCUCUCUCUCUCUCUCUCCCUCUCCUCUAUGGUGCAUACCACCACUAUCUUGUACCAUAACCAUGGUCGUCGCACCUACAUCUCACCACCUGCAACCUCAACAUAAUCGACCAUCACCGCCAUUCCUACCAUCCAUCGCCACCCUACCAUAUUCUCCAUCACCACCUCUUUCUUGUUCCAUGUGAAACCUUAAAAUCGGUGACAACAACUAAUAGGGUUUGGUGAAAAAGUUGAACUAAUAGGGUUUCUGAAUUUCGAGUAUUAUGCACACAAAUGUCAGAAGAAAUAUGGUCAACCAACUCACAUAUGGUCCGAUUCCGAUUCUUAAAGCCCUCAACUCUGAUUUACAUGUGAUCAAGGCUGGAAAGUUUCAUCUAUUGGUUUUGCUAGCUUUGGGAAUCCCAAAGGGGAUUGUGGUGCUGGAUUUAGUCAAGGAAUUUGUCAUAUCGACGUCAUAACAAUUGCCUCCGUCUCAAGUUGUUGCUCAUAUGUCUACUUCUACACUCAACACUUACAUAUAUUUCAAGUCAUCAUCAUCUUCCUCAAUGCAAGGUAUUUUUCCCAAACCACUAGUUUCUAAACAUAUUUUUUGAAUGGAUUCAUCUCCCUCGCCGUCCCUUGGUCGUGUAUCCCAUGCUCAUGAGUAAUGAUUUGUUCAUGUUUAACAUGUCACAUGUGACUAUUAUGACUUACGAGUACGUAUGCUGUGGUUUAUUUCGGUUAUUGGACAAACCAACCUAUAAUAAUUACAAUUGGUUAAUGCAUUUCAAUUAAAAGUUUUUGUUAUUGGGUAACAUGGUUGACCAUAAUGAUUGACAAAUUCCACAAAAAAUAAAAAGUACAUUUCUAUAAAAAUGAAAAAACAAAAAGUAGAUUGUCAAAAAAUUAAAAUGAAAAUUAAAAAGUACUAUGUAGUCAAAUAUAUACUAAAUGGAUAUUAAAUAUUAUCUUACUGAUUUUUAAAUAAAUAACUAUGUUAUAAUAUUUUUUAUUAGUUACAUAAUCUUAUCCACCAAUCAAAAUUUUUUAUGUAUGAAGAACAGAACGUACACUUUUAUCUUAAAUAGCUAAUUUAAUGGAAUUUUAAAUUUCGUUAUUUGACAUUAUUUGUUUAAUAUUUAUCUUUAAAUUACAAUUAAUAUACAAUUAAAUAUAAGAUUUCAGUUCGGUUUAUAAUGUUUCAAUUUCCGUAUAAAACCAUAACCGAUAUAACAUAAAGAAAAAAAAAACAAAGAACAAAACCCAACAGUUGGUUUUAAAAACGGUUUAGUUUUUAUGGUUCGGUUGCAUUGGUUAAUUUAGUUCUAGUUAGGUCUUUCUUUUCGGUUAUUAUGCUCAAGCUAGCGGCUAUGAUAGAAAAAUUACCCCUCCAUGAGUAGACUUCAAGAAGCAAUUAGCAAAAAGCUGUGAACAUAGAGGAAUUUAUGGUUCGUCUCUGUACUGAAAAAGACGAAAAGAAAAAAAUAUCUAAAUAGUAGCUACCCGUCUACUUUGGCAAAGGAAACCUUUUUUUAUUAUUGUAAAUAUUGUUUGCAUAAAUCAACCCACGUUUUUAAUAAAAUAAUUUGUUCUGUUGAAAUACAUUUGUAAAUUUGGUGAUUGAGAUGUCGUGUUCUUCCCAUGCAAUAGCAGUCGAUUAUAUACAAAUUUGAAAAGUAAAUAGCAAAUCACUAAAUGCAUAUACACUCUCCAUGGGCUAAAUCUAUUUUAAAUUCAUGGUUUGCAGAUCCGCCAGAGAUAAUAUAAUUUCAUUCGACUUUAUUAAAUUGACCUCGCAUGAAUUACUAAAACAUUCUAACUCUGUACAUGAUGAUGCUACUUUAAUUAAUCGAUUUUACAAGCAAUAUUAUCCUAAAACAUAGAUCAUCGAGAUCCAUAUGAGUAAUAUUCAUCAUCGUGAGUUCCUUCAUCAAAAUUCAGUGAGUAACUAACAGCAUCAUACUGGAAUAUCAAAGUCUUUGAAGAUCCGUAUAUGUUUUUUUUGCUUCCUUCAAUCACCUUCUUCAUGAGCUUCCUCCAAUUACGACUCCAGCGUACACUGCCACUGUUAAUUUGUGUGCAAUCUUCUUGAUCGGAGUGUGAAGAAGUCGACGUACAGUCAGAAACGUUAGAUAAUCGUCCUUCAAUGUACGCGCUGCAGGUAAGGUUAAUUGUGGUGGCCAUCUUUUUUGGAGAGAGAAGAGUUCUUGUUUGUUGUGAAUUGUGAAUUGUGAAUUCAUGAAUGGAAGUUUAAUUAGUGGAAGACGAGACUUUAUAGUUGGUGUAGAC